UGAGGAGCUGCUUUCAGUAGA
rnacentral:misc_RNA from 1 species